rnacentral:rRNA from 1 species
UACGUAGGGGGCAAGCGUUGUUCGGAGUUACUGGGCGUAAAGGGUGCGUAGGCGGCUCUAUAAGUAUGGUGUGAAAUCUCCCGGCUUAACUGGGAGGGUGCGCUAUAGACUGUGGGGCUAGAGUGCGGGAGAGGAAAGCGGAAUUCCCGGUGUAGCGGUGAAAUGCGCAGAUAUCGGGAGGAACACCAGCGGCGAAGGCGGCACUCUGGGCCGAUACUGACGCUGAGGAGCGAAAGCGUGGGGAGCGAACAGG